GAGAGAAGAUACCGUGAGCGGGUGAAAUAAGGCCUAUCCAUCUUACUUUUCAAAGCUCAGUUGACACUGUGGCGAGACUGGGAGAGCCGGUCACCACUUACCUUAUGGCCAAUUGCAACAAUAGACAACAUAACUGAGAACAUGAUGGCCGCUUAAAGUAUUUAACUUAAACACACAAUCAAAAUAAGCUAUAGCUAUCUUAAAAAUAAUCUAUAUGUUAACACGUUUAAAAAACAAUAGACAAAUAAACACACAAAACCAAUAUAAAUAACAGAGCAUUGCGUUGUUGUAAAUAGACAGUGUGAACUGAAUUAAAGCAUUAGGGCUAUAAACAAGCAACGAUCGUUGUCGUGAAUUUAUGCGACUUUCAUUUUCAUUGUCAGAACAGCUUCUUCUAAUGCCGUCUAUUAAUUUUAAUGUUAAAUAUACAUAUUUUCUAUUCUAAACAAAGGCCGUUAUGAGUCUGAUUUUAGUUCUUAAUGUGAUAAGGUGUUCAUGACAUUUUAGUCUACAUAAAUACAAGUCCCUGCGUGUAUUGUUUGGGUUCGAAAGUUGUAGUAGCAGGAAACCUGAAAAACCGGGCAGACGCGCGUCUCCAAACCACGCCAUGAUUUCUUCCUCGCCAACCCAAAAUAAUGGAUGAUGGUAACUGGCACCAGUGGAUGCAUGCAGGGUCACCAAGCUGGGAAAGCGAUAUUGCCACGGCCCCGGACUGGCGCAGAGCGCGGAAUAACCACUGAAAGGGAGAAGGGGCGCCAAUGCGGGUGACACUGAACUUGGCCAAAAGCGAGCUCUGCUGGUGGUUUACGGCGUGUGCACAUUCAUCUUCCUGCCGCCGCUGACCUCACGGUGAACCAGGAGCGAAGACAUUUUUCUUCAGUCCCUCUCUCUCCUUCAUUGUCUAUCGAAUUCUGUCUAUCUCCCACUCGCUCUCACACUUAACUUUAAGUAUGCGGAUGUUAUAUGCGCAUUUCCUCAAAUAAAGCAGGCAAGCAAAAACA